CCCUUAGAUGUUCUGGGCUGCACGCGCGCUACACUGAUGCGUUCAACGAGUGUAUCACCUUGCCCGAUAGGGUUGGGUAAUCUUUUGAACACGCAUCGUGAUGGGGAUAGAUUAUUGCAAUUAUUAAUCUUCAACGAGGAAUUCCUAGUAAUGAUGAAUCAUCAGUUCAUCGUGAUUACGUCCCUGCCCUUUGUACACACCGCCCGUCGCUCCUACAGAUUGAGCAGUCCGGUGAAAUCUCGGGACGGCGGCUUGGUCGCUUGCGUCCGACUGCUGAAACUUGAUUAAACCAUAUCAUUUAGAGGAAGGUGAAGUCGUAACA
rnacentral:rRNA from 1 species